AUUGAACGCUGGCGGCAGGCCUAACACAUGCAAGUCGAACGGUAACAGGAAGAAGCUUGCUUCUUUGCUGACGAGUGGCGGACGGGUGAGUAAUGUCUGGGAAACUGCCUGAUGGAGGGGGAUAACUACUGGAAACGGUAGCUAAUACCGCAUAACGUCGCAAGACCAAAGAGGGGGACCUUCGGGCCUCUUGCCAUCGGAUGUGCCCAGAUGGGAUUAGCUAGUAGGUGGGGUAACGGCUCACCUAGGCGACGAUCCGUAGCUGGUCUGAGAGGAUGAUCAGCCACACUGGAACUGAGACACGGUCCAGACUCCUACGGGAGGCAGCAGUGGGGAAUAUUGCACAAUGGGCGCAAGCCUGAUGCAGCCAUGCCGCGUGUAUGAAGAAGGCCUUCGGGUUGUAAAGUACUUUCAGCGGGGAGGAAGGGAGGAAAGUUAAUACCUUGGCUCAUUGACGUUACCCGCAGAAGAAGCACCGGCUAACUCCGUG
rnacentral:rRNA from 1 species